rnacentral:rRNA from 1 species
AGCAGCCGCGGUAAUUCCAGCUCCAAUAGCGUAUAUUAAAGUUGCUGCAGUUAAAAAGCUCGUAGUUGAAUUUCGGGACCGAUAUAUCGGUCGUGCCUCGGUACGUACUGGUAUUUUCGGUUUCUACCUUCUGACGAACCUUGAUGUCAUUAAUUUGGUGUCUUGGGAAAUCAGGACUGUUACUUUGAAAAAAUUUAGAGUGUUUAAAGCAGGCUCACGCUUGAAUACAUUAGCAUGGAAUAAUGAAAUAGGACGUUUGAUUCUAUUUUGUUGGUUUCUAGGAUCGACGUAAUGAUUUUAAUAGGGAUAGUUGGGGGCAUUAGUAUUCAAUUGUCAGAGGUGAAAUUCUUGGAUUUAUUGAAGACUAACUACUGCGAAAGCAUUUGCCAAGGAUGUUUUCAUUAAUCAAGAACGAAAGUUAGGGGAUCGAAGACGAUCAGAUACCGUCGUAGUCUUAACCAUAAACUAUGCCGACUAGGGAUCGGAUGAUGUUAAUUUUUUAAUGACUCAUUCGGCGCCU